GUAGUAAAUAUGUGUACGAACUGUUGCAUAAAUAGCGGGAGCCAUGUGGGGAAAUAACAGCGUAUACCAAAUAAGGAAGGCCCCAGGCCUUGUGUGAAGACAUAAAAUAAAGACGAUUAUGAACCCGUUUACGGGAGAUAGAUAAAUAAUUAGACACCUAAAUAAGGCAUACUUGUCCUGUAGAGGCCUAAAAGGCACGUGUCAAUAGUAUGGAUACGACAGAAGGAAGCGGGCAGGCGUCCAUCAUUUAUCUAUCCUCCGCGCUUGCUCUGGAAGAAGCUCCAGUUGCUUGGGUGUUUACUGUCGUUCAGAGCUCGAUUUAGUCAUCUCCUCCAUCCAUCAUGAAGGUCCUCGUUGCUUUCCUGGUCGUAUGCCUUGCAGUGGCAGUGCGAUCCCAGAGCUGCAGAGAGACUACCGCCACCCCCUGCACUGGUGACUCGUACAGUUGCGCUGAGCGCACAGUCACUUGCAACUCCUCCCUGUACUGCUUGUCCGGAUCUACGUAUUCCAAUGUCAUAGGUACCGGAGUUGGUAUCAGGUUCUGGACCAAGAGGUGCUAUACCUCAGCUGACACAGACCAGAUCAACUGCGGAACCCAGAACUUCACCUGCAAAACGACUACAGAUGUCGGUGUGACCGGCUCCUACUGCUGGAGAUGCUGCGUCGGUACUGACUGCAACAACGGCACUCCUCCCGUCGCCGCUGCCUCUACUCUGCAGAUCAUCAGCCCAAUCACCAUGAUCAUGCUCAUUGCCGCCAUUUUCUACUUGACCAAGUAGACUAUUCCCUUCUAAAGGACAUAGUAAUACUGUUUGGUGUGCCGCAUUGAUGUGUGUCUUUUCACAUCUUGCCUCUUUUUGACGGUUUAAGCCUACCAUCCCGUGCCUUUUCCCUGUGUCAUUCGCUGUCUGAGAUUGGCAAAAUGGACCGAGUGGUUUGUCCGUUUGUAGAAAGCCACACGGUCAUGAUCUGUUUUUUUCCUCUCUUUCUGGUCUUCCCAGGUCUUGUUAAUUAAUCCUGUUUGAGUGUCUAUGUUUACAUAUUCAGACUAUACUGAAUGGUACAGUUUUGAGAGAGAAGCUUUCCGGUAUUGAA